rnacentral:misc_RNA from 1 species
GAUGAAGAACGCAGCGAAAUGCGAUAAGUAGUGUGAAUUGCAGAAUUCAGUGAAUCAUCGAAUCUUUGAACGCACAUUGCGCCCCUUGGUAUUCCAUGGGGCAUGCCUGUUCGAGCGUCAUCUACACCCUCAAGCUCUGCUUGGUGUUGGGCGUCUGUCCCGCCCCCGCGCGUGGACUCGCCCCAAAUCCAUUGGCAGCGUUCCUUGCCCCCUCUCGCGCAGCACAUUGCGCUUCUCGAGGGCGGCUCCGGGACGCGAUCCAGCAAGAUGACCACCGUCUUUGACCUCGGAUCAGGUAGGGAUACCCGCUGAACUUAAGCAUGUCAAUAAGCGGAGGA